rnacentral:rRNA from 1 species
UACGGGAGGCAGCAGUAGGGAAUCUUGCACAAUGGGCGAAAGCCUGAUGCAGCGACGCCGCGUGGGGGAUGAAGGCCUUCGGGUUGUAAACCCCUUUCAGUAGGGACGAAAAUGACGGUACCUACAGAAGAAGCUCCGGCCAACUACGUGCCAGCAGCCGCGGUAAU